UAUUGAAAUAAACGGUUUGACUUGGCGUAAUAAAUAUUUCGCUAAGGACGUUUUCUUCAAAUAUAAGAGGUGCUUCUAAUUCGCUUCUAAUAGCAUUUAAGCUUUAGACCUCAAAUCAGUCAGGACUACCCGCUGAACUUAAGCAUAUCA
rnacentral:rRNA from 1 species